GCCGGUCCCCAGACAGCCGCCUCCAGGAAACCGCACUUCCGCCUCCUAGCGGUCGCCCCGGAAGUGGUCGCCGUCAGCCCGGAAGAAGAAACCGCAGCGCGGCAACGCCUUCGGGCGCACCGGAGUGGGUUGGUUCCCGGGCAGGCGUGUCCUCCGUGAGAGAGACAUCAGGUGACCGUGGUUCAAACCAAACCGACAGACUUCGCCCUUUACGCCAACUCCUGUGGCUCCGAAGAAAGACGGCAGAUCUGAAGGCGCUGCCGGGGAGGCGCUGUGUGCGCCCCAAGUGGAGCGGCCAUGGCUUCCUCCCGAGGAGAGCCAACCCCUCGCCGUGGCGCCCAGGGCAUCAUCGCCUUCCCAGCUUUUAGGAUUCCCUUGCUUUUGAGUUUUGUGGAUCCUGGCACAGUUGGAAUGGCUCGCCGCUUCUGGUAUUUGGAGUUCAAGCCGAUGGAACUGCAGCCGACUGGCUGGCCAAGCCCAAGAAGACCGGAAGCUACCGUUAGGUUGUCUGCUGUCAGCUGGUGGUGGUUGGCAUCCGUUCAACUCUGAUAGGACCCCCAAUUUGGGGUAUGCGGAAGGAGAAUUUAUUCAGAACAGCUCAACUGUGAGACAGCACAGGUGUGGGACAGCAGGGCCGUGAGGCAGGUCAGGUGUGAGGCAGCCCCGUGUUGCAGCUUGGCCCCUCUCUGGCAAGACAGCUGGACUCUGCUGGCCCACUCCGGCCUGGCCCAGCCAGACAGCUUACCUGGUACAGCUCCAGCAGGAAAACACAAUCUUGGUAGAUGAGGAAAGCCCAUUCCCUGAGUCAGAGGGCAUCUGAUUUAUAGGGAGGGAAGUCCCCCCCUCCCCCACCGCAAAUGAGGACUCCAAGUCCACAGUUUGAUUGGA